rnacentral:rRNA from 1 species
AGGAUCUUCGGCAAUGGGCGCAAGCCUGACCGAGCGACGCCGCGUGUGCGAUGAAGGCCUUCGGGUUGUAAAGCACUGUCGAGGGGGAGAAAGGCGAAAGCUUGAUCUAUCCCUGGAGGAAGCACGGGCUAAGUUCGUGCCAGCAGCCGCGGUAAGACGAACCGUGCGAACGUUAUUCGGAAUCACUGGGCUUAAAGGGCGCGUAGGCGGGCCGCCAAGUCCGGGGUGAAAUCCUCCAGCUUAACUGGAGAACUGCCCUGGAUACUGGAGGUCUCGAGGAGGGUAGGGGCAUGCGGAACGGGUGGUGGAGCGGUGAAAUGCGUUGAUAUCACUCGGAACUCCGGUGGCGAAGGCGGCGUGCUGGACCCUUUCUGACGCUGAGGCGCGAAAGCCAGGGGAGCAAACG